AUACGGAGGAUGCGAGCGUUAUCCGGAUUUAUUGGGUUUAAAGGGAGCGUAGGUGGGAUAUUAAGUCAGCUGUGAAAGUUUGGGGCUCAACCUUAAAAUUGCAGUUGAUACUGGUUUCCUUGAGUACGGUACAGGUGGGCGGAAUUCGUGGUGUAGCGGUGAAAUGCUUAGAUAUCACGAAGAACUCCGAUCGCGAAGGCAGCUCACCGGGCCGGAACUGACACUGAUGCUCGAAAGUGCGGGUAUCAAACAGGAUUAGAUACCCUGGUAGUCCGCACAGUAAACGAUGAAUACUCGCUGUUUGCGAUACACUGUAAGCGGCCAAGCGAAAGCGUUAAGUAAUCCACCUGGGGAGUACGCCGGCAACGGUGAAACUCAAAUGAAUUGGCGGGG
rnacentral:rRNA from 1 species